GUAGGUGACGUGAGUGACUUUGGGGCGGGAGCAGCGCUCAACAAGUCUACGGACACGGAAUCAUGGCUGACUCAAAACAGCAGAAUGUUUAUCCUAUCGGGGGUGUCAAGGUGCAGUUUCCUGUCAAGCCUUACCCCUCGCAGAUGGCCAUGAUGGCUCAGAUUGUAAAGGGACUCCAGCGACGUCAGAAUUGCCUGCUAGAGUCCCCAACCGGCUCGGGAAAAUCGCUGGCUCUCUUGUGUUCAACACUAGCCUGGCAACAAGCUGAAAAAGGUAAGG